AAGCUAGCAAGUGCUUGUUACUUUGACUCCCGAAUAUGUGCGGCAGCUGCUGGUUCCGGUUUUGCACAAAAUGUUAUUUAUUUUAGCUACGGGAAUAACUGGAUAACAGUGUUUGUUAAUCGUAUAUCUUAGUAACUGGCCCCGUAUCGGGUUAUACACUUGAGGAAAAGGAAUGUUUCAUAAAGCUCUUUUUGAUUGUUUCUGCGGGACGACAUGCUGAAAAUCAGGUUAUUGCAUUGCGGUCAGAAAAAGAUGUUGUGGUGGCUGGCAUACACAGGCAUUCUAUAAAAAAGAAAGCAAUUUGGAUACAACUUCCUGAACGAGAACCAAAUCCCUUUGGAGUGCAACAAUGCAUGAAGUGAUCAGAAUCUAAGUGUUGAAGCUCUUCUUGUUCCUUGACAGACCUGGUGUAGGACAGUAGACAUGUGUGUCUGCAGCUGCAUAUUCCAUGGAACUUCCCAAUAUGCUUUGCAGUGCAGUGUACAAGACCAGUCCCUUCUGGACCCAGGAAUCUGCAUCCCCUUCAGCUAACUCCUUACCAUUUUCAUGAACAAUGCAGUUGAAGCAUUGCAUGAUAAUUAAUAUUGAUCCAGCAUGCAUGUGCCACAAAUUAGGAUGGAAAAGGUGAUCGUAAUAUUUAUCUUGUCAAAUUUAUGGACUUGGGUUGCUCCCCAUGAGGUAACUGGGAGGAGAAAAAUUUAGCAUGUGUCAUUUUAGCAUUAAAAAACUUUUAAUGCUAAAAUGACACAAGAAGAUUGAUUCUGUGUUGGAAAGCAACACAUUAUAUUACAGGAAUUUAGCAGACACUCUUAUCCAGAGUGACUUACACAACAUUUUACAUAGCAUUUACAUUGCAUCCAUUUAUACAGCUGGAUAUAUACUGAAGCAAUACAAGUUAAAUACCUUGCUCAAGGGUACAACGGCAGUGUCCCAUCCAGAAAUCAAAUCUGUGACCUUUAGGUUACAAGACAAGUUCCUUACCCAUUAUACUAUACUGCCACCACCUGAACAUGCUGGAUGGUGUGGUCUGUGGGGUUCGGCUCCAGGUAAUGUAAGCAGCUGGGACUGCUCUAACUGGAAAGCCCCCCAUCCCAAAACUCUCAGAGCACCUAAAUAAUUUGGAUAGUUAAAUUGCAAAAUUGUGACCUAUAUAGUUCCUGAAAGUACUUUCAUUGCCUGGAAGUGAAAGAGGCUGACCAUCUGUGCUGAAGACGGAUUCUGUUACUUAUGCUUCUUCACUGGAGGCACAGAUUUCCUACAAAUACCAUUAAGUGUUUUGUGAGUCCAUUCAACCUGCUGUUUACUGUUGAAUGACACCAAGAGCUUUUUAAUUAAUUCCCAUAAAGGACAGAACGUUCAAUUCUGCAGGGUAACCACAAACUCUAUAGUUUAAAUAUGAUACAUGUAUUUUCUUGUUUUUCAUAAUCCAGGUGUAAUCAGAAUGAAUCUGUUGAGAACAUAUUGGGAUUGAUAAGGCUUAUAUUGCAUACUGGGUCUACAUUUAUUAUUUUCUUUUUGUUCUUUUAUCUUGUCUGCAUGUCUUGUUCUUUUAAAGGUGUUAUCUGUUUAUUUUGAGACUUGAAUAACGCCCGCCUGCUGGUGCAUUCGAGAUUUAUACUCAACAUUCCAACAGUUGCACUCAUACGGGUCCCUUGCGGCCCCUAGCGAUUUGUUUUAGUAUGGCAACCUUUCGACUGCUCCAUUUCCCCUGGUUGUGUUUCAGAAGUAAUUAUGGGUAAGACGUCACCUUUGGUUUAUAAGGGAGAUUCGCCAUUAAUGUAACGCUUAAUAAAUGUUACACGGUCAAUAACUUAAUGUACAAUGUGGCUAACGUAGCCAUUUCACGUUUGUACAUGUGCAACUCAGUUCUCUCCCACCUCCCAAAAGGAACGGAGAAAUGUGUUAACAUUUAAGGAAAUAUUUCCCAAAAAAAAACGGUUUUUAAGGGAGCUACGUAAAAAUCGGUUCCAGGUACAAGGCAUUUAAAAAAAAAAAAAUCAUACAUCAUUAAAAAAGUUAAUAUGGUUUUCUGACUGUAUUCUAGCGGGAAUUGGGUGCUACAGUAGGUGACCAAUACACGUAAUUUCCCCGUCUGUAUAAAUGUAACAGCUGCCACAGUUAUGCCGCCUGUGCGCAGCAAUAUACGAAACAACGUGCUGUUAUAUGUUUACAGAAUGCCAUCUAAAAAGAAAACGAGAGGGUAGGUACCCAGGGAGGUCAUGGAGAAGAUUGAGAGAUUAUGGACACUGGAUGGUGUUGAAAACCAUCUAUCUACAUGUACUGUCCUUUUGGGGAGACCUUAGGCAUUUAUGAUGGUGUUUAAUAUUUAUUAAAUUAAUUAAUUUUA